AUGGAAUGGACCGAACAAGAGAAUAUUCAUGUUUCACCUCGACGCAUGGACUCCGGAUUCAAAGUUUUACAGGAGAUGGCCCAUCUGUAUGAAACCAUCGGGAAUGACAUGGUUCAUAACAUGCCUAGGACUGAUGAUCCAAUAAGUCUCAGGAAGCGACUAAUGGUCCAGAUGUUGAUGGUCAGGGAGAAUGAAGCAAAGGACAACAUUCCAGAUCAAGUUAGAGUAGCGUUGAGAUUUAUUGGUGGCUAA
rnacentral:rRNA from 1 species